ACAAUGUGGUCAAACUGAUCCACAGUAACAUCAUGCUCAACAUAGGCUAGCUCCAACACUAUUUGCAAUGCUUCUCUGUGCGCUUCUGAAUUCAUUAACAGAGACAACACUGAAAUCUUCGACGGAGUUUAGAGUAGCUGCUCCACCAUAUUAAACUCACUUCUCUUAAUUAACCUUAACACUUCAUCAUCAUCAUUAGUCUUCAG
rnacentral:lncRNA from 1 species